UUUUUUAAUAGGUCUCUUUGUCUAAUUCAAUGAUGUGAGGGAUCAUAUUCUAGGAAAUAAUGACAUCUAUAAAUCUUCAGUUGAUGAUCUUGUUAGAAGCACGCUCUUCCAAGGAUAAAGCAGUAUUUUGGAUUCACUGUCUUGGCUGGGGCCUGGAAUUUCAGGGGAUUUCAAUUGGCUCUUCCUCCUACUCUGACUCUUAACCUCAACUCCAGGUAUAAAGAAGAAAUGUAUUUCAAGCCUGAUUGAUGAUGAUGAUGAUGAUGAUGAUGAUGAUGAUGACGAUAUGCUUCAAUUAGUGUUUUUUUUGUCCCCAAAGCACCAUUUUGUACUUUUCCACACUUUAGCAUAUUCACAGAUGUAUCCAUUAGCACUGAAAGCAAAUAUGAAGAAAUCUAUCUGUCUGGAUUGAAUAUGAAAUUUGGCAAAUUUAUUGCUGUCAUUAAAGUCAGUUUUCUUAAGCUAUACCAUCAGAGUGCCAGAAAAAAAAAAAACAAAACAAAACAAAACAUCAGCGUGUUCAAAAGGCACCACACACUUAGAGUUCCCUAUUUGUGCGAGCCUCUUUCUUACCCUCAAUACAUCCUUCAUCUUAUUGUUUUUGAUGCUAUUAUCAUAAUCAUAUGAGCAGGAAUUUUCUGCAAAGCUCUUUGGUGCAAACUCCGACACACAGCAGGGAUAAUUAAUUUACUCUUGGGAAUAAUGGGCACAGGUCUCUGCCUACCACUAAUUAUUGGAAAUUCAUCAUCAUUUGCAAGACAAAUAUUUCUCCUUUUAUCUCCAUAUUCUAGUCCCUAUUCUUACUUCUACACUCUCUGAGAACAAGCAGAUUCAACCUUCUUUUUCAUACAAAACUCCUCAAAUAUUUGAAUGCAGCCAAAAU